rnacentral:rRNA from 1 species
GCUGGCGGCACGCCUAACACAUGCAAGUCGAACGAAGUAGCAAUACUUAGUGGCAGACGGGUGAGUAACAUGUAGGUAUCUACCCUUUGGCCUGGAAUAACACGAGGAAACUUGUGCUAAUACCGGAUAAGUCUUUACGGAGAAAGCUUUAUGCACCAUUGGAUGAGCCUGCACUUGAUUAGUUUGUUGGUGGGGUAAUGGCCUACCAAGACUUUGAUCAAUAGCUGAUUUGAGAGGAUGAUCAGCCACAUUGGGACUGAGACACGGCCCAAACUCCUACGGGAGGCAGCAGUGGGGAAUCUUGCACAAUGGAGGAAACUCUGAUGCAGCGAUGCCGCGUGAGUGAAGAAGGCCUUUGGGUUGUAAAGCUCUUUCGUCGGGGAAGAAAAUGACUGUACCCGAAUAAGAAGGUCCGGCUAACUUCGUGCCAGCAGCCGCGGUAAUACGAAGGGACCUAGCGUAGUUCGGAAUUACUGGGCUUAAAGAGUUCGUAGGUGGUUGAAAAAGUUGGUGGUGAAAUCCCAGAGCUUAACUCUGGAACUGCCAUCAAAACUUUUCAGCUAGAGUAUGAUAGAGGAAAGCAGAAUUUCUAGUGUAGAGGUGAAAUUCGUAGAUAUUAGAAAGAAUACCAAUUGCGAAGGCAGCUUUCUGGAUCAUUACUGACACUGAGGAACGAAAGCAUGGGUAGCGAAGAGGAUUAGAUACCCUCGUAGUCCAUGCCGUAAACGAUGUGUGUUAGACGUUGGAAAUUUAUUUUCAGUGUCGCAGCGAAAGCGAUAAACACACCGCCUGGGGAGUACGAC